ACUAAGCGUACACGGUGGAUGCCCUGGCAGUCAGAGGCGAUGAAGGACGUGCUAAUCUGCGAUAAGCGUCGGUAAGGUGAUAUGAACCGUUAUAACCGGCGAUUUCCGAAUGGGGAAACCCAGUGUGAUUCGUCACACUAUCAUUAACUGAAUCCAUAGGUUAAUGAGGCGAACCGGGGGAACUGAAACAUCUAAGUACCCCGAGGAAAAGAAAUCAACCGAGAUUCCCCCAGUAGCGGCGAGCGAACGGGGAGCAGCCCAGAGCCUGAAUCAGUGUGUGUGUUAGUGGAAGCGUCUGGAAAGGCGCGCGAUACAGGGUGACAGCCCCGUACACAAAAAUGCACAUGCUGUGAGCUCGAUGAGUAGGGCGGGACACGUGGUAUCCUGUCUGAAUAUGGGGGGACCAUCCUCCAAGGCUAAAUACUCCUGACUGACCGAUAGUGAACCAGUACCGUGAGGGAAAGGCGAAAAGAACCCCGGCGAGGGGAGUGAAAAAGAACCUGAAACCGUGUACGUACAAGCAGUGGGAGCACGCUUAGGCGUGUGACUGCGUACCUUUUGUAUAAUGGGUCAGCGACUUAUAUUCUGUAGCAAGGUUAACCGAAUAGGGGAGCCGAAGGGAAACCGAGUCUUAACUGGGCGUUAAGUUGCAGGGUAUAGACCCGAAACCCGGUGAUCUAGCCAUGGGCAGGUUGAAGGUUGGGUAACACUAACUGGAGGACCGAACCGACUAAUGUUGAAAAAUUAGCGGAUGACUUGUGGCUGGGGGUGAAAGGCCAAUCAAACCGGGAGAUAGCUGGUUCUCCCCGAAAGCUAUUUAGGUAGCGCCUCGUGAAUUCAUCUCCGGGGGUAGAGCACUGUUUCGGCAAGGGGGUCAUCCCGACUUACCAACCCGAUGCAAACUGCGAAUACCGGAGAAUGUUAUCACGGGAGACACACGGCGGGUGCUAACGUCCGUCGUGAAGAGGGAAACAACCCAGACCGCCAGCUAAGGUCCCAAAGUCAUGGUUAAGUGGGAAACGAUGUGGGAAGGCCCAGACAGCCAGGAUGUUGGCUUAGAAGCAGCCAUCAUUUAAAGAAAGCGUAAUAGCUCACUGGUCGAGUCGGCCUGCGCGGAAGAUGUAACGGGGCUAAACCAUGCACCGAAGCUGCGGCAGCGACGCUUAUGCGUUGUUGGGUAGGGGAGCGUUCUGUAAGCCUGUGAAGGUGUACUGUGAGGUAUGCUGGAGGUAUCAGAAGUGCGAAUGCUGACAUAAGUAACGAUAAAGCGGGUGAAAAGCCCGCUCGCCGGAAGACCAAGGGUUCCUGUCCAACGUUAAUCGGGGCAGGGUGAGUCGACCCCUAAGGCGAGGCCGAAAGGCGUAGUCGAUGGGAAACAGGUUAAUAUUCCUGUACUUGGUGUUACUGCGAAGGGGGGACGGAGAAGGCUAUGUUGGCCGGGCGACGGUUGUCCCGGUUUAAGCGUGUAGGCUGGUUUUCCAGGCAAAUCCGGAAAAUCAAGGCUGAGGCGUGAUGACGAGGCACUACGGUGCUGAAGCAACAAAUGCCCUGCUUCCAGGAAAAGCCUCUAAGCAUCAGGUAACAUCAAAUCGUACCCCAAACCGACACAGGUGGUCAGGUAGAGAAUACCAAGGCGCUUGAGAGAACUCGGGUGAAGGAACUAGGCAAAAUGGUGCCGUAACUUCGGGAGAAGGCACGCUGAUAUGUAGGUGAAGNUGGAGCUGAAAUCAGUCGAAGAUACCAGCUGGCUGCAACUGUUUAUUAAAAACACAGCACUGUGCAAACACGAAAGUGGACGUAUACGGUGUGACGCCUGCCCGGUGCCGGAAGGUUAAUUGAUGGGGUCAGCGCAAGCGAAGCUCUUGAUCGAAGCCCCGGUAAACGGCGGCCGUAACUAUAACGGUCCUAAGGUAGCGAAAUUCCUUGUCGGGUAAGUUCCGACCUGCACGAAUGGCGUAAUGAUGGCCAGGCUGUCUCCACCCGAGACUCAGUGAAAUUGAACUCGCUGUGAAGAUGCAGUGUACCCGCGGCAAGACGGAAAGACCCCGUGAACCUUUACUAUAGCUUGACACUGAACAUUGAGCCUUGAUGUGUAGGAUAGGUGGGAGGCUUUGAAGUGUGGACGCCAGUCUGCAUGGAGCCGACCUUGAAAUACCACCCUUUAAUGUUUGAUGUUCUAACGUUGACCCGUAAUCCGGGUUGCGGACAGUGUCUGGUGGGUAGUUUGACUGGGGCGGUCUCCUCCUAAAGAGUAACGGAGGAGCACGAAGGUUGGCUAAUCCUGGUCGGACAUCAGGAGGUUAGUGCAAUGGCAUAAGCCAGCUUGACUGCGAGCGUGACGGCGCGAGCAGGUGCGAAAGCAGGUCAUAGUGAUCCGGUGGUUCUGAAUGGAAGGGCCAUCGCUCAACGGAUAAAAGGUACUCCGGGGAUAACAGGCUGAUACCGCCCAAGAGUUCAUAUCGACGGCGGUGUUUGGCACCUCGAUGUCGGCUCAUCACAUCCUGGGGCUGAAGUAGGUCCCAAGGGUAUGGCUGUUCGCCAUUUAAAGUGGUACGCGAGCUGGGUUUAGAACGUCGUGAGACAGUUCGGUCCCUAUCUGCCGUGGGCGCUGGAGAACUGAGGGGGGCUGCUCCUAGUACGAGAGGACCGGAGUGGACGCAUCACUGGUGUUCGGGUUGUCAUGCCAAUGGCACUGCCCGGUAGCUAAAUGCGGAAGAGAUAAGUGCUGAAAGCAUCUAAGCACGAAACUUGCCCCGAGAUGAGUUCUCCCUGACUCCUUGAGAGUCCUGAAGGAACGUUGAAGACGACGACGUUGAUAGGCCGGGUGUGUAAGCGCAGCGAUGCGUUGAGCUAACCGGUACUAAUGAACCGUGAGGCUUAACC
rnacentral:rRNA from 1 species